rnacentral:misc_RNA from 1 species
GAUGAAGAACUCAGCGAAAUGCGAUAAGUAAUGUGAAUUGCAGAAUUCAGUGAAUCAUCGAAUCUUUGAACGCACAUUGCGCCCGCCAGUAUUCUGGCGGGCAUGCCUGUUCGAGCGUCAUUUCAACCCUCAAGCACAGCUUGGUGUUGGGACUCGCGUUAAUUCGCGUUCCUCAAAUUGAUUGGCGGUCACGUCGAGCUUCCAUAGCGUAGUAGUAAAACCCUCGUUACUGGUAAUCGUCGCGGCCACGCCGUUAAACCCCAACUUCUGAAUGUUGACCUCGGAUCAGGUAGGAAUACCCGCUGAACUUAAGCAUAUCAAUAAGCGGAGGA